CAUUUCGGCACCUAAACUACAAGC
rnacentral:siRNA from 1 species